GAUGAACGCUGGCGGCGUGCCUAAUACAUGCAAGUAGAACGCUGAAGGAAGGAGCUUGCUCUUUCCGGAUGAGUUGCGAACGGGUGAGUAACGCGUAGGUAACCUGCCUGGUAGCGGGGGAUAACUAUUGGAAACGAUAGCUAAUACCGCAUAACAGUAGAUGUUGCAUGAUAUCUACUUAAAAGGUGCAAUUGCACCACUACCAGAUGGACCUGCGUUGUAUUAGCUAGUUGGUGAGGUAACGGCUCACCAAGGCGACGAUACAUAGCCGACCUGAGAGGGGGAGCAGCCACACUGAGACUGAGACACGGCACAGACGCCUACGGGAGGCAGCAGGAGGGAAUCGUCGGCAAUGGACGGAAGUCUGACCGAGCAACGCGGCGUGAGUGAAGAAGGAUUUCGGAUCGUAAAGCUCUGUUGUAAGAGAAGAACGAGUGUGAGAGUGGAAAGUUCACACUGUGACGGUAUCUUACCAGAAAGGGACGGCUAACUACGUG
rnacentral:rRNA from 1 species